CUAAUNUNAGCAUUAACCUUUUAAGUUAAAGAUUAGGAGUCUAAGCCUCCUCAUAAUGA
rnacentral:tRNA from 1 species